rnacentral:lncRNA from 1 species
UUUUGAAUAUUUUUUUCCACUGAUUUUACGCAUAAUUGAGAUUCAGUUUGACCGAUCUGUCUGUAAAUUCGAGAAAUUAUUUUGACUGACAAUUUGGAUAUUAUGCAUGUUAUGAUAUGCAUAUGAUGUUAAUGAUUCUAUGAAUGCAUUGAUUCAGUGAUUCAGGGUCAAAAUUGGGGUAUGACAGUUGCCCCUAUUUAAAUAGCUUUACCAAAUGGUAUGAUCGAUGACAAUCCUCAUAGUAUCUUGGUGGAAGAUAUUU